GUUUUGUUUUGUUGUGUGUACCUAGCUAAUAAGCUCAUUUGUUCGCGGAUUCAGUCUUUGUGAUCAGCUCAGCUAGUCAUUGUUAAACUUGUUGCCGUGCAACUUAUAAGUUUUAGUUUUUUUCCUCUUUCAAGUAUUUAAUUAUUCACCUGUAGCUUAUAUCAUCUACUGCACCAUCACAGGCAUUCGGUCAAGGAGAAGGCGUUACAGCUCUCUUUUAAUUUAAAUUCAUUCAAGUCGAACGUUUAUCGUUAUUUUUCCUGUUACCUAUAAGUUUCCAUCUUUUGAAGAUUCAUGCUAUUCAUACCACCGGACACUUGUUCAUUUAUGAUACUCAUCUUUACACGGUUUGGAAGCAGUUCAAAGGAACUCUCUAAUUUUUUCCGCAACUAUCAAUAUUUUAGGAUUGAGAAAAUCACCGCACUGAAAUAGAGGAAUAAUCGUUUUCUUCAGCUGUAAGAGCCAGUUUUGUCGUAAAUUGCUGCACAUAAUUCUGCACCGCCUCUUAUGUUUACUUGUAGUCCUUCGCAUAGUCCCCUUAGUAUAUUCUUAUUAAAUUGCCUCGAUUUUUCUUAUUUUUUCUGUUCCUUUUAAUUAUGACCAUCCAAAUUUUACAUACUAAAAAUCAUUCUGGUCAAAGCACGAACCAAAGCAUGCAUAAAUUAUUCAAAAAACUGUUCCUGGCAACAAAUAAAUAUUUAAUGUUCCGAAAACUAAGAACAGCUGUUAAAAUUAAGCGAAUUAUUGUUGCUAAGUCCAAGAAACGUUUAACAGAAGCAAAGCCCAAAGGACCGGGUCUGAGGUCAUACAAACGAAAACAUAAACCGCUGCUUGUUCAACUAAUGGAAAAACAACUAAUUUGUAACGUAUGCAAUGAGCUCAAAGAGGGGUUGAUUAUUCUGCAAGCCCAUCGAAAACGGAAGAAUAACUUAGAUUCCAAUAAUAAUGCUAUGUUAUCGGAGCCCAUUUUGCCUCCGAAAGCAAUAAUAUUUAAGAAAGAUUAACUUUUUUUGUAACAGCUAUACAAACAUUCUUAGUUCAGAAUAUCAUAAAAAAUCGUCUGUAAGCAGAUUUUGCAACAGACAACUUACAGGCAUGAAGGAUGUUACAUUUUCAAGUACUGUCCUUUUGGGUCCUUUCAUCUAAAAUGUUUGUAAAUUUGAAGAUUCAUAGCUGAGAAUUUGCAGUUGGGCGUGUAGCAAUACUUAAACAAACAUGUAUUUGAACAAAGGGCUUUUUUACCUUAAAAUUGAAUUUUCACUUUUAGUUUUACUCGUGGAUAUUUUAUUGCAUUAUUAAAGUUUAUUUAUUCCUAAGUCCUAAAGUUGUGAAAGUAGUUUUUAUUUUAAAAAAAAAUUCCAGCAGUGUUCUUAAUCGGCAAGUUUUUUCCUUGUUGCGCUCUUAAUAAACUUGUUCACUAUAAA